CUGAACUGAACAGGAGCCUCCCUUCCUCUCUUUACCCUAAUGCCAAGCCUUCACAUUCCGAUCCCUUCUCGUCUUGGCAUUUGAGGUUCCUUCUUCUGCUCCUCUGUCAUUCUCUAUUCCUCUUUAUGCUUCUGUAAAAUUUCUUCAUUUUAGCUUAUUCCUCUCACAAAUUCGCAUUGGCAGGCACGACAAUCAUUAAAUUUUCAUCCCAAUUCACAAACUUAUCUUCGAUCUCCAUCUGUCAUGCCCAAAGAGAAGAGCCCUGGACUGAAGAUCCUAUGGCUUUGGACCAUCGGAACCGCCGCAAUUUUGAUCACCAGUGUGGUAAGGACGAGACUAAGGGACCUUGAGAACGCCAUGAACGCUGAACAUCAACAACAAAACCAUGGGGUGUCGCCUGGUUCGGCAAUGGUGGACACACUCCCUUCUUCAGAAGAAUCAAAGCCAGAUGAUAAAAUCUAGGCGGGUCUUCAAUCGACUUUCUCCUUCUUUGAUUGAUCUUGUGUUGAUUUUCUGCUUGGAGGAUGCGAUUUUGUGCUGGCAAAGAGGGUACGCAAGGUGUUUGUUGAAUGUCCUCUGUGACACUAGUUAUAUGAGAAUAAAAGUUUAGGUUAAUCCAAAACUCAUAUUUACAUUUACAUGUAACAUGUAGAAAUAAUUAAUUUAAUUUCUUUAUUUGAGAUCCACUUGUAAUUUUUUCCCUACUCUGUUUUCCGAAGUAAAUUGGUCAGGUUUAUUAAUUGAACUGAAAUUUUUCUUAAA